AGAAUCAACGCUGGCGGCGUGCCUAACACAUGCAAGUCGAACGCGAAGACCCCGCAAGGGGUUUGUAGAGUGGCAAACGGGUGAGUAACACGUGGGUGAUCUGCCUCAGAGUGGGGGAUAACGACCCGAAAGGGUCGCUAAUACCGCAUAACAUCCUGCCUUUGGAUAGGUGGAGAUCAAAGCCGGGGAUCGCAAGACCUGGCGCUUGGAGAGGAGCCCGCGGCCGAUUAGCUAGUUGGUGAGGUAAUGGCUCACCAAGGCAACGAUCGGUA
rnacentral:rRNA from 1 species